AUGCACCCACAAGUGCUGAGGGAGCUGGCAGAUGUCAUUGCUAAGCCACUCUCCAUCAUCUUUGAAAGGUCAUGGAGRACAGGAGAGGUGCCUGAGGACUGGAAGAAAGCCARUGUCACCCCAGUCUUCAAAAAGGGCAAGAAGGAGGACCCAGGGAACUACAGGCCAGUCAGCCUCACCUGCAUCCCUGGAAAGGUGAUGGAGCAGCUCAUCCUGGAGGCCAUCUCCAAGCAUGUGGAGGAAAAGAAGGUGAUCAGGAGUAGUCAGCAUGGCUUCACCAAGGGGAAAUCAUGCCUAACCAAUCUGAUAGCCUUCUAUGAUGGAAUGACUGGCUGGGUAGAUGAGGGGAGAGCAGUGGAUGUUGUCUGCCUAGACUUCAGCAAGGCUUUUGACACUGUCUCCCAUAACAUCCUCAGAGACAAGCUCAGGAAGUGUGGGCUAGAUGAGUGGACAGUGAGGUGGAUUGAGAAGUGGCUGAAUGGCAGAGCUCAGAGAGUUGUGAUCAGUGGCGCAGAGUCUAGUUGGAGGCCUGUAGCUAGCGGUGUCCCCCAGGGGUCAGUACUGGGUCCAGUCUUGUUCAACUUCUUCAUCAGUGACCUGAAUGAAGGGACAGAGUGCCCCCUCAGCAAGUUUGCUGACGAUACAAAACUGGGAGGAGUGGCGGAUACACCAGAGGGCUGUGCUGCCAUUCAGAGAGACCUGGACAGGCUGGAGAGGAACCUCAUGAAGUUCAACAAAGGCAAGUGCAGGGUCCUGCACCUGGGGAGGAAUAACCCCAUGCAGCAGUACAGGUUGGGGGUUGACCUGCUGGAAAGCAGCUCUGCGGAGAAGGACCUGGGAGUGCUGCUGGACACCAAGUUAAGCAUGAGGCAGCAAUGUGCCCUUGUGGCCAAGAAGGCCAAUGGUAUCCUGGGGUGCAUCAGGAAGAGUGUUGCCAGCAGGUGGAGGGAGGUGAUUCUCCCCCUCUACUCAGCCCUGGUGAGGCCACAUCUGGAGUACUGCGUCCAGUUCUGGGCUCCCCAGUACAAGAGGGAUGUGGCACUCCUGGAGCAAGUGCAGCGAAGGGCUACUAAGAUGAUUAGGGGACUGGAGCAUCUCUCUUAUGAGGACAGGCUGAGAGAGCUGGGCCUGUUUAGCCUGGAGAAGAGAAGGCUGAGAGGAGAUCUUAUCAAUGUGUACAAGUAUCUGAAGGGAGGGUGUCGAGAGGAUGGGACCAGACUCUUUUCAGUGGUGCCGAGCGACAGGACGCGAGGCAACGGGCACAAACUGAAACACAGGAAGUUCCAUCUGAACAUGAGGAAAAACUUCUUCACUGUGAGGGUGGCAGAGCACUGGAAGAGGUUGCCCAGAGAGGUUGUGGAGUCUCCUUCUCUGGAGAUAUUCAAAACCUGCCUGGACGCAAUCCUGUGCAAUGUGCUCUAG
rnacentral:lncRNA from 1 species